rnacentral:rRNA from 1 species
UACGUAGGGUGCAAGCGUUGUCCGGAAUUAUUGGGCGUAAAGAGCUCGUAGGCGGUCUGUCGCGUCUGCUGUGAAAACUCGGGGCUUAACCCCGGGCCUGCAGUGGGUACGGGCAGACUAGAGUGCGGUAGGGGAGACUGGAAUUCCUGGUGUAGCGGUGGAAUGCGCAGAUAUCGGGAGGAACACCAAUGGCGAAGGCAGCUCGCUGGGACGGUACUGACGCUGAGACGCGAAAGCGUGGGGAGCAAACAGG